CGAUGCAUCAACUGUGUGUUCUGCUGAUUAAAAUACAGAGAGGUCUUACUCAACAUUAGGCACGUUGGGUGAACUCAUCGCGUUUUUUCGUUCUUUUUCUCAAAGGGAAAGUGAGUAAAGUAAGUCGAAGAUGAACUGUAAUUCAUUUCUAGACUAGACCGUCUGCCAGGCAGGGGUAAAACACAAGUGAUGCGUAAUGGCAUCCCAACUCUGCAUUCGCUGAUUUGCGAGGCUAGAAAAAGAAAAGUGUGUGGCGUCUCGGGGCUUGAGGAGAGAAAUGAAUCUGCGCAAUGGCCUCAGAACAAGGAGUGAUCAGGGAUACGGGCUGCAGUGGGUCUUGUUUGAAUUAGUUUACAGGCGGCAUAAAAAUGAAGAGCACCCCACUGAGAUGCGGAGAACCUGGCCUGAAGGCCUUUUCAGACUAUCUCAGGUUGAAAGGUGCAUUUAAACCUUCCACCGCGGUAAUUAAUCAUGCAUGGCUCUGCUGGGCUACUGGUGUUGCUUGGGUGGUGUGUUUUCAUACAUGGUCUUUCUCAUCCUGAACAAGCAAAACUGUAAUUAAACAGAUUUAAAUCAGGAAAACCAGGAACUAGGUGAUAAUUACGAUGGUCAAGAGAGCUAAGUAAAAAAAUAAACACACACACACAUUCAAAUAGAAAAACACAAACAAAUUGGCUUUGACAAUUCACACACACACACACGCGUAAAUUCUCACAACAUACGAAAAUAGAGAAAUGUGCUGCAAAUACAGACCACAAAGGAAAUGUGUCAGUGGACUCAGAAAGUGAUGCACCGGCUGCUUCCUGUUUAAAGUCAUUGGUUCAUUUAAUCUUAAUUGUGCAGAUCUGUCAGAUUAUUAUCUAAAUAAAAUAUACAAACAACAAUGAA